UUUUAGUCAAUGCCCUCCACUUUCGAAAUGCUUCCGCGACCUCUUAGUAGUAACCUUAGUAAUUAUAUGUUUAAUGUGAAGUCUGUAUUAGAUUUCAUCAUCACUGUUGUAGGUCUUCUAUGUUUGUGUAAAUGCUGUAUUGAAAAGUGGCAUGUAUGCACAUCCUCCAUUUUAAUUCUUCUUUGUAUGUAACGUCAUUUGUGUUUGUCCUUAAAAUACAUUCUUUUCCAAUGAAGUUUGCAAUAUACUUCCCUGCCCAAGGGAACUUCAUACUAUCCUAGAAAAGUAAUAUCUUUCAUACCAAGAAAGAUAAAAAUAUAAGAAUUUUCUGUAGAAUAAUUCGUAAUUAGCAAAUUAAAACGUGUAUUAUAUUUAAAUGCAAUAUGAUAAGAACCGUCGAAGGGGAGAGACAAUAUAUCAUUUAGUCGACGCAAAUCAUAUAUCACAAAUAAAAGUUGAAUUUAGUGCGAUUGCAAGUAAACUACAAAUGUAAAAGGAAAUAAAAUUCUAAUAGUUGUAAACGAAGUUCACUUAUAAUAAACGU